UGGGGAAUAUUGGACAAUGGGGGGAACCCUGAUCCAGCCAUGCCGCGUGUGUGAAGAAGGCCUUAUGGUUGUAAAGCACUUUAAGCGAGGAGGAGGGUACUGGUAUUAAUACUACCAGGUACUGGACGUUACUCGCAGAAUAAGCACCGGCUAACUCUGUGCCAGCAGCCGCGGUAAUACAGAGGGUGCGAGCGUUAAUCGGAUCUACUGGGCGUAAAGCGUGCGUAGGCGGCUAAUUGAGUCGGAUGUGAAAUCCCCGAGCUUAACUUGGGAAUUGCAUUCGAUACUGGUUAGCUAGAGUGUGGGAGAGGAUGGUAGAAUUCCAGGUGUAGCGGUGAAAUGCGUAGAGAUCUGGAGGAAUACCGAUGGCGAAGGCAGCCAUCUGGCCUAACACUGACGCUGAGGUACGAAAGCAUGGGGAGCAAACAGG
rnacentral:rRNA from 1 species